UCUGCGGACACAGAGACGGUCACUCAUGAGGGGUCAGAGGCCGCAGGUUCAGCUGCUUCCGCGCGGGGGGAGCCGUUAGCACAGCGGCUAACUCGGCUAGCAUCUGAACGAACUCGGCGGGGAGCCCGCUAACGGCGCCGGGACCGGACACUACCCCCCGGUCGCCGCACUCACCGUGGACGUUCCCGCGUCGGAGCCCGCGCCGCCGCUCGGUUUGGGUGUUGGUUCCGUCCUCAAUGAGGAUUUCCUGCAGAGCGGCGGUUCGGCGGUGGACUCUGUGAAGGCACAUCAGCGACAGACGUCAUGGCAGUGAGUGAACGCGCCGACCUUCAGGUCUGACAGACAAAGUGCUUUAAGACGUUGGAGUCUCGGACCAGACCGGAGCAGAACGGUUCUGUGCAGGAACGUCCUCCGCUGCUGGAGGUCUGAAGGCUCUGGUGAAGAACUAGAACACAUUCACACUCAUUCACAGACAAACAGACCUGUUUCUGCACCUUUCCUCUUUUUUCUUAUAAAAA